UGGCAGAAUACCAGAGGAGGAAUCAUGUGGAUAAAUUCUUAGUUCUUGUAGAGUCAGAAAUUCCAUGUGUGGCCUCUUUGUUUUAUUUCCAAUGUUGUGAAUUCUUAGAAAGUGAAAUGUACUAUGACUAAACAUGAAUGAAAAGGUCCUGUAAAUUCAAAUAUAAAUGAUAUUUUGGGAGAUGCAUAGUGCUAUGUAUACUUCCUCCAGGAGUGUGAAUAACUGAGUACUGACAAUACGCUAAAAUGAAAGAAUUUAAACACUUUGAUUUUAAUUGAAUAAAAUUUGGGUUAACAAAUUUUGAGGAAAAUAAGAUGUUUUCCUAUGAAACAAUUUGUGAUGCAAUUGCAAACACCAUCACAGUGUAAUUUCAUCAUUUGUAUCUCCUUAAAGAUUGAUGAAAUUCUUUCAUACUGUACAUUAAAUUUUUAGUAAAAGGCCAAAGAUGGAAAUAAACAUAUAUUUCUAAGAGAAUGUCACAAUCACCACUAGAGGGUACAGUAAGCAACCUUUCUUCCAGAUAUUUGAGCAGAAGAAUAUUACCAAGAAAUAAAAGGCAAUACAGAAUCACAGUACUUGAAACAACCUCAAUAGGUGAUCUGAAAGAGAAAUGGCUUUCAGAAAUGGUCAACGUAUUUGACAUCUAUCCAAGGCAAAGGAUAUCAAGUGAUUUUCAAGGGCAAUGUGUGUCUUGGGUAAAAGUAAAGUGAAUUUAUCUAGGAAUAUAGAAAUGUUUCUGAAGUAAUUAAACAAAAAAAUAAGCCUUUUAUACAUACAUGGAACUCUGUAACCAUCUCCCUCAUUAAGCCUGUUGAUUAAAGCUGCUUCUAGAGUGAUUUUAUUCUAAAAAGUUGAACUUAACAAGGUCUUAGAAAACAAAAUGAUGACAUAGGAUUUUAGAACCUCAGUAAGAUCCAAGUUGGCAGUAAAAGAAAAAGACAACAUUCUCAAACCAGCAGUGACAUUGGCAGAGUCAGAUGCAGAGGGCAUGAAUUCUUUACUUCAGAUACAUCUCCAGACUAGUGGAUCCCAUGUUGUGCAAAAUAAACACAUUCCUCCUUCCUUCCAAUCCUAAAAAGAGCAGUUUUUUUGUGUAUUUAAAUUGGAGCAUCUCAUCCCAUACGCUACUGAAUCUACUGUAAUGUUUCUGGAUGAAAA
rnacentral:lncRNA from 10 species